rnacentral:lncRNA from 1 species
CAUUUGUUCAUGUAUUUUGCUUUGAGAAGGUUAGACAUGAAGAGGGCAAGCCAGUGAUUAGUCACAGUGACAGCUACUGGUCACUAUAUGAUACGCGCUUUGCAUGCACUAUUUUAUUUAAUCCAAACAAAUUGUUAUUAGUAUUAUCACUAUUUUGCAGAUUAACUAAGGUGUACCAAGGUUAAGUAAUUUGCUUAUUUGCCUAGGAGGCUGUAAGUUGUAGGUUCAGGUCCCAAACCUAGACUUUUUUUUUUUUUUUUUUUUGAGAUGGAGUCUUGCUCUGUUGCCCAGGCUGGAGUGUAAUGGCUCAAUCUCGGCUCACUGCAACCUCUACCUCCUGGGUUCAAGCGAUUCCCCUGCCUCAGCCUCCCGAGUAGCUGGGAUUACAGGUGCCUGCCACUGUGCCCAGCUAAAUUUUGUAUUUUUAGUAGAGAUGGGGUUUCAACAUCUUGGCCAGGCUGGUCUCAAACUUCUGACCUCGUGAUCCACCUGCCUCGGCCUCCCAAAGUGCUGGGAUUACAGGCGUGAGCCACCGUGCCCGGCCAACACAGACCUCUUUAAAACCAAAUUCUCUACCAGCUUCCUACAAAAUUUGUAUGGCAUCAAUGGGUACACAUACUACCAUCUGAUCACUCAUAUCCAACUGAAAUAGGCAUUCUGAUCACGAAAUUUUUUUGUUGUAGUCAUUGACUAUAUUUAUGAAUUCAUACAUGAUCAUUCUUCAACUAAGUAUGAACUAACUCCUGAUUUCUUGUUCUAGUUAGGGCUUAAGAAAUUUAUUUCCUUCUAAAUCCAGGGAACUGACUCAGUCAGUAGAACCUUUGUUGAAAACUAACUUCCAAAUAUGCUGGUGUGAUUUUGGACAUUAAAGGAAAACAUUUCUUUAGUUUUUCCUGUGAGGUGGAUUCUAGACACCAGAGUAGAAGUAGCGAGGCUUGCAGGAGUCUGGAAGGACAGGGUGUGCCAAUAUCAGUCUUUUUUAUCAAGCUUAGCAGGCUCUAUUUUUAGUCUGAUCUACUCUGUGGCCAGGCCAGGUCUGGAGAUUAUAUGGUGGAACUGUUUUUAGCUGUAGGGAUCUUGCCAACUGGUAGAACUAGAGGAGAAACAUCUCCUUUGUGUAGGCUCAUUCUAUACCAUUUGCUCUCAUUUAUUCAUUCAUUCUGCAUUCAUUAAAAGCCUUCUUCCAUGUGCCAGACACUGAGCUAAGUGCUGAUAAUCCUUUUAUUUGUAAAUAAAUACCACCCCCCUCAAGAUAAGCUAAGGCCAAGAAUACCAGCUUUAUAGCUUAAAUCACUGAAUUCUCACAACCACCACAUAAGUUGGUGCUAUUAUUAUCCCCAUUUUACAAAUGAGGGAGCUAAGGCAUCAACAAUGAAGUGAGGGCCAGGCACGGUGGCUCAGGCCUGUGAUACCAGCACUUUGGAAGGCAGAGGUGGGCAAAUUGCUUGAUCCCAGGAGUUCGAGACCAGCCUGGGCAACAUGGCGAGACCUUGUCUCUACAAAAAAUUAUUAGCCAGUUGUGGCAUGCACCUGCAGUCCCAGCUACUCGGGAGGCUGAAGUAGGAGAAUCACCUGAGCCCAGAAAGUUGAGGCUGUUAUGAGCCAUGAUCAGGCUACUGCACUCCAGCCUGGGUGACAGUGUAAGGGCCUAUCUCAAAAAAAAAAAAGAGAAGUGAGGCUGGGCACAGUGGCUCAUGCCUAUAAUCCCAAUACUUAGGGAGGCUAAAGCAGAAGGAUCACUUGAGUCUGGGAGGUAGAGGCUUCAGUGAGCUCUUAAACUGUACUCCAGCUUGGGUGGCAAAGUAAGAUCCUGUCUUAAAAAAAAAAAAAAAAAAGACUGAAGUGACUUGUCUAAGAUUGUUAAGUGGUAGAGCUAGCAAAUAACCCCAGACAGGACAGCCCCAGAGCCUGUGGUUCUAUCCACUAUGGUACUCUACUUCUACAAAAUGUAAAUGAGACAGUUUUUGAACGAGUAAGUCUGGGUAGACAGACAUUUAAAUGGGAAAAAAUGCAACAAAGUGUUAUACUUACUAUGAUAGAAUUAUAGAUGAAGCAUAGUUGUAUUAAUAAAAUAGGUGGUCCAUCUACCUGGUCUGUAGGAUUUUUGCCUGAGUGAUUUUGAUGUAUGAUAGAGACUGUUGGGUGGCUGAAGGAGGUAAGUUUAUUUUUUGACAUUUUCAGAUUGAGAUGCCUAUCAGCGAUCAGGUGGAAUUUUCUCUUAGGCUUUUGGAUUAGCUGGGCCUAAAUAUGUGGGAGCCUUUAGCAUAAAGGUGGUAGCUGCAGUCACAAUAGGGGUUAGGACAGCCAGAGAGAAAGGAAGAAGAAAGGUGAGCCAGGAACGAGGUCCUGGGAAACACCAGCAUUUAGAGGGCAGACAAAAGCAGAGGACCAAAAAAAAACAGAAGAAGACCAGUCAGAGAAAUAGGAGGACAACCGCUAUAGUAGGGAGUGGGCUUUUGGAAGCUGAGGAAAGAGACGUCCAAGAAGAAAGUCCUCAGCUGAAUCAAAUGCUAAGGAAAUGUCAAGUGAGGUGAAGCCUGGAGAGCCCCCUGGAUUUAGCAAUUGGUAAUUCAUUUAUGGGAGUACAGAAGAUGGAGGAUGCUACUUUGUUUCUUUACACAUUAAGAAAUCUGAACAUGAUCACAGUCAGGAGAAUGAGCCAGUAAAGAAACAGAGAUGAAAAACACGGGAGAGCUAGGAGAUGAUGAGAAAUGAACCUGAGGAAAUCAGGGGCUUUAGCCAGAUCAGGGAGAGACCUUGGAAAGAGGCGACACCUCUUCCUUUAGUACUGGAGGGGAGGAAGAGGGGUGAAUGCAACCAGAUGAGUUUUUACAUUUGGGGGGCAGGUAGCUGAGGAAGUUCACUCCAGACAGUCUUGAUUUACUGGGCUUAAAACUGGUCCCAGGUAUAGCUGGCCGCCUCUUGAAGACAAGAGGACCUGGAGCUGAUGACACACUCACGGCACUUGAACUCUGGUGUAUUUUUAGAAUCCCAGGUAAAACUCCUGAACAAGAUUCUCAAGAACAGUUUGAAAGUGUCUGGUUGCCGGAGGAGGGGAUGGGAAAGCUGCUUUAGAGACUGUUAGGUAUCAAACAAAGUUCUGGAAGAGGCCAGCAUUCCUCCAGAGAAUUGUGAAAGAUACAAAUCGGUGAUAACCCUAUGGACUGGAAUUGGAUUCUACGGCUGUCUCAUUCCAUACACAGCAGUUCUGGAGGUGUCAAGAUGGCUGCCUGGUCUCUCCAUGCCAGCAGUUUGGGGCUUCAGUAGCUACUACUGCCUCCUAGUCUCCACCUGAUGAAAGAAGUUCUGACAAGGCUAAGUGGCCCCAAGGUGUCAUUCUCCCUCCACCUUCCUAUAAGUUGCAUAUGUUACAAAGGAACAGGACAAAAAAAGAGACUUUGGUCAAUACCCACAGAAAACCCCAGGAACCCCAAAUCAUUUCUCAUGAAUUGGACCGCAACACCCAGCCCCAGUCCGGGGGACUUGCUUAAAGAUGAGCAUCAGCAUUUAGGCUAAAGGGUUAUGAAGCUGUGGUUGAAGAUGCCAAUCCCAAUGCCGGGGCUCAGGUUUAGCUAUGGUAACAAUAAAACAGACGAGAUCUGGGAAAAUGUUCUAUUUGCUAAGUCAGAUAUGAGGCUGCUGAACUGUCUGAUCUGAUUCCUGUUUAAUGCUUUUAUGACAAGGAAAAUGAAAUCUCCCAAAAGUACUUGCCAGAAUAUUGAAAAUUAUUCUUGACUUUUAAUAUUUAGUUGGCUUAGUUUGGAUAAUUUGAGAUUUACAACUUUCUAGCUCCUUCUAAAACACACCAUGAUGCUAUUCUCAGUAACCAGCUAGGGUGAUGAAUUAUGUAUUCUGUUCAUAUGAAUGGGGGUGACAUUUAAAAUAUGUAACAGGCUGGGCACAGUGGUUCACACCUGUAAUCCCAGCAUGGUGGGAGGCUGAGGCAGGAGGAUCACUUGAGGUCAGAAGUUUUGAGACCAGCCUGGCCAACAUGGCAAAACCCCAUCUCUGCUAAAAAUACAAAAAUUAGCCAGGUGUGGUGGCAUGCACCUGUAAUCCCAGCUACUAGGGAGGCUGAGGCAGGGGAAUCGUUUGAACCCGGGAAGCAGAGGCUGCAGUGAGCUGAGAUCGCGCCGCUGUACUCCAACCUGGACAACAGAGUGAGACUCGAUGUCUCAAAAACAAAACAAAACAAAAAUAUGUAACAACCAGAAUAGGCAACAGCCAACUAGAGCUGAGACUCUCUGGAUACAUAUGUGUGGGGAGGCAAGAGGCAGGCUGGUUUCCCUCUUCCCUUGAUAGGGGACAGGGCCCCUUUUAUUCAAAUAUCUUGGGACAGGCUAAGUCCAGGAGGCCAGCAGACCAAGGGGGUCACCCAGGUACUUGACAUCUGGAGUAUUCUUAGCUAUCUAUUGUUUAAACAUUAUAUUUUAAUAUUGUCCUGAUAUUAUAAAUAGGGUAAAAAGAAAGUUUUCUCAAUGUUUAUAACUUAAGCUUAUAUUUUGUUCUUCUAAAGCUUCUUUUACUAGUUUGUGGGAUUUAAGACUAAAGCCUGCCUUUCUAAAGGAUGGUUUCCAAAGUCUUUUCUUCCUAGUUAAAAUCAACCAAAAUUAAAGAAAUUAUUGUAUUCUUCUUCCACUUAGUAAAUAUUCUACUUCCUACACCCUUCCCUCAUUUCUGUUGUUUUCUGUCUUUGUCACUAGGGCACUUGGAAAGAGAACUAGGUAUUCUAAGACCUUUACUCUUCUUUCAUCGUAAAUAACUGAGUAAUAACUGCCAUCGUUUCUAUAUUUGGCUCAUCAUAUGAGCCACACAGUGCAUUCAAUGCUUGAGAUUAAUUAUCCCAUAUAUUCUUCUCAGCAACCCUAUGAGGCAGGUAUUGUUACUAUCCUCAUCUUACGAAUGAGGAAACUGAGAUCCAGAGAGAUAAGAUAGCCUGCUCAAGGUCAUACAGUUUAGUGGGUAAGUGAGAAUUUUUUUUUUUUUUUUUUGAGACGGUCUCACUCUGUCACCCAGGCUGGAGUGCAGUGGCACAAUCUUAUCUCACUGCAGCCUCGACCUCCCAGGCUCAAGUGAUCCUCCCACCUCAGCCUCCCUGGGACUACAGGCGAAUGUCACCACACUUGGCUAAUUUUUGUAUUUUUUGUAGAGACAGGAUUUUGCCAUAUUGCCCAGGCCGGUCUUGAACUCCUGAGCUCAAGCGAUCCUCCUGCCUUGGCCUCCCAAAGUGCUGGGAUUACAGGCGUGAGCCACUGUGCCCAGCUUUGAGCAAGGAUUUGAAUUGUGGCAUCUGACUCUAAAGCUUGUGUUCUCCCACCAUGCCACAAGUAUGACAUUUUCCACAGGUGUCACACCUGGAAGGGUGUAUAGAAAAGGCAGCUGAGGUCCAAAGAUGGAAGGUUACUAUCAGGAGCCCCAAGACGCAGUGCAAUACAAGCAACGAGGAGACAGUUCUUUCGGUCCACUGACGGACUCCUCCUGUCCUGAGCUCUC